rnacentral:lncRNA from 1 species
GCUCAAAUUUUUAGAAUGAAAAACGUUAACGCAUCGGUAGAUAUGCUGUCACUGAGAUGUAGAAGACUCGGCGGCGGUGUUUACUUUGUUAAGGAGACGCAAAAUCUCUUGCAGAAGAUAGACUUUCAUAUGAGGGUCAAUAAGGUGGCCUUUUGUUUCGAUAAUCAAUAUAUCCUCUUCAACUCCCUCUUCACUUCUGCAAGACUAGGUAUACCUAUCUCCCCUGGAAUAAGAAAUGAUACGUAGUCGAUAAAAAUGGUAGAAACGACAUAUAUUCAUCAAUUAAAAUUACAAAAAAACAUUAUGAGAGCACAUAAAGAUCUUCACGACUCAAAAUUCAUGAACGAAAAGACACUUGAGCCAAACAGAGUAUUGACAUUUUGAAAAGGGGAAACUACAGUUUGCACCCCUGAACUAUGGGGUAUGUCACAAACACCUCCCUGAACUACAAAACGUAACAAAAUGACCCCUCCGUUUCAAAUCCGUUUGUGUAUGAUGACGUGGCGCGUUGACUUUUCCUUUUUUAAUUACUUUUGUAGCUGCAAUAUUUUUUGACCUUUUUACCCUCAAUAUGCUACAUCCGUAUCUCUCCCUCUCGAUAUAAUGUAUACAUACACGUUCUUGUAUAUACACACACGUUCUUAUAAUUAAUAUUUAUAAAUAUACAUAAUUUAAUUACAAAAUAAAUUAAUUAUUUAACUCAUAUUUUACCAAUAAAUACACUAAAUUAAACCAAAACAAAACUCAAAAAAUCGUAAAACUUUGCCUCCAGAGUACCCAAAAAGUUAAACCAAAACAAAAAUCAAUAUUUCUAUUCUCUCUCUUGCAAACUAUGGUACGCGAUAUUUAUGUUGGUGUUGGAUCCCGUCAGAAAAUAAUUGCAGAAAUCAGCGAUAUUGGUUAGCCACUCGUCGGUCGUGGUUAUCGACGGAGACAACCAACGCUAGAAUUUCGUCGGCAAUUUGAGAAGGUAACAAAAGGCGUGGAACAUGAUUGUGUGAGCGCUGCCUAGGAGGAAUCCUCCCCUGCGAUGUGAUAGUAAGCGACAAGGGGCAGUUUGGAUGCCGAAGCGGGGAAAAAUUCCAUGGAGGGGUGAUACAAGGAUGAAUACUCCCCUGUUAUUAAAAAGACGAGGGGCAGUUUGGAUGCCGGAGCGGAGAAAAAUUCCGGCGAGGGGAGAUACGAGGAUGAAUCUUCGUUGGUGGGAAUGUGUUUGCUGGGGAUCAGAGAUUUGGGAUCGGAAGAGGCGGCGAUUGUGGGAUGAAUCCCGGCCGAUGUGUGAUGGAACCAUCGGAGUUUUGGGUUUAUUCCAGGUGGGGAGAAGCGUCCCCAUUCACGUUCACGUUAACUCAGAGAUACUACUGACAUGUUGAAGAAGAGAAGAAGAAAGAAUUGACUAGUCCAACUUUUAAAAUUAAAUACAUUUAAGGGUAAUUAAGUAAUUGCCCAGAAAAACUAACAGUGUUAAUUUUCUAACGUUUGACCAAAAAAUGGAGGGGCUAUUUUGUUACGUUUUAUAGUUCAGGGAGGUGUUUGUGACAGACCCCAUAGUUCAGGGGUGCAAACUGUAGUUUCCCCUUUUGAAAAUGUUGUUCGGCCCAUAAACAUAUUACAAGCCACAUUGUGAGUUAAUUAAAAUGUGAAGUGUAAACCACGACCAAGAAACGAUUACAAGAAAUAAGACCUUAUUGAUGAAAUAAGCUAUACGAAGAACAUCGUUAUUUUCGGAAAACUAAUUUGUAAAUAAUCUAACAAACAGAAGAAUGUAAAACGAGAAAAGGUUUCAUUUCCAAUCACAUAUUUCACAUUUCAAUUUUUUUAGAUUGCCGGGAUAAAUCAUAGUAGAGAAGUGCCAUAAUUGUAAUUACGAAAUUUACCUUCAGAUUGGGCCGCUUCGUCUGAAUUUUCCUUCAUUAGUAACUUCACAAUGCCAAAAACAAAGGGGUCAUCAGAAAGAGGAGCAAGAUAGAUAGGACACAAAAGGGUCAUUUUCAAAUCUUAAAUGAUAAAUAUAUGACCUCUUCGACUCGUUCUAAUCCAAAGUAGAAGCUGCCGUAUUUUCAAGAAUAUCAAGAGAAAUGAAAAUUGCCAAAAAUAACUGGAUAAUCAACACGGGAGGGGGGGUGAAAGAUCGGAAAGUACAAAAUUCAAAAACAAAAAUAAAUUGCGUAUGACGUUAAACGACAUGUCAUCUGAUUUUGAACCAGAAUAAAUAAAAAAUCAUCAAUCCGAUAAAAUAGUUGGAAGAUGGAAAAUUAAAUAUUGAAUAUAACCGGAGGGGGGGGGGGGGGGGGGGUCAUCAUUCGAAAACUAAAUAAAAAAACUUACAAAUGUCUGAGAAAAUGAUAGAAGAAAACUGAAAGCGGAAGCGAGAGAUGGGAGAUAUGGGAAUGAGUGGGGGAAGGGAAAACGAGUGUUCCAUUAUAAUCACUUGUGCAUAAGAUGAUUCCUGCCAAUGAUUUUUGUCAUAAGAAAAGAUGUUAGUACCAUAAUACCGAGCUGAAAGACGGGAACAAAAAAUAACCCACAAUUCCUCACCAUUUGGUAUGCAUGUAAUACAAUAACCCUUCUUAUUGCACCUUGUGCAUCUUACGACUCUUCCUUUGUCGUUUCUGUGACAUUGAUGGCAAUUAUUUGAAUCGCUUAUUUUCUUCUGUCACACCCAAAGAAAAAAGUAUUAACAUAGGAACUCAUUGUCCUCACGUUUGAAUAUCAAUUCUUAUUCCGUUUUUAGAACUAUGAUCUGAAGUUGUUAAAAGGGAAAAUAAAAUGUUGUUCAUAGUUAUGAAAUGGUCAAGGAUAUGAUAGAAUUUCAAAUCUUGAUUGAUAUACAGACUACGGAAGGCAACAUGUUAGUUUCCUUUUCACAUUUUUUUUCAGAUAGAUCUGUCACAAUUAACAUUACUAAUUUACCUUUAAGUUGGGUUUGUUCAUCUCCAUAUUUCCAGCAGAAGAUGCAUCUUCAUUUGUACUUCUCCACGGCCUCAUUUCAACUCCUAAUUGCCUUUGUAAAUCUUGUUUUUCAAUCGUUUUCUCAAUCAGGCACCACGUUCUCUUAACUGCAAUGGCAAAAAUGUAUGCGUAAUUGUUCCAGGGAAGACCAAAUAAGGAUGUCCUACCAGCAAAAAAGGAAAAUUGUGUUGAUUACCGUAAGCCGAUACUGCUCACUGCAAUCUAAUGCUGAUUGUUGCAAUUUUAUGCUUAUUACUACAAUCUUAUGCAGAUUCACAGAACAUAUAAAUAAAGUUCCUUUUCAGCGACCAAAAAUGUUUUUACUUACUAUGCCUGUAAAAUGGAGGGCCCCAGUAUCGAAUUAUAUCGGAAAUUCAAGGAAAAAUAUUUAUUUUAUAUUAUUGCUACUUACUACUUAUGCACAUUCACAUAAUAUAUAAAUAAUUUUUCUUUUCACUGACCAAAAAUGUUUUAUUUUUACUUACCAUGCCAGUAAAUUGGAGGAAUCCAGGAAGAAAAUCUAGAAUUAGCAUUCCUUACAAACAUUUUAGGAAAAAUAAUUAUUUUAUAUUGCUACUUACUACUUAUGCACACUGACAGUAAAACUGGUCCUAAUUCUCCAUAAUGUGUUAAAUAAAUAUUACAAAAAUGAAAAUUAAAUUGUUAAUAUGUUUACAUAGCCUAGGCUGGAAAAUGUCUUUUAAAAGUUACAAAAUCUAUGAGAGAAUGAAGUUAUUUCAAGACAUUAAUUUAUUGUAACCUAACGACUAGCAAAGAACAACAACCCAAAUUUAAACCACUAAGCAUUUGUACAUUUAUUUGAAGAAUACAGUAGAAAAAAAUUGUAAAAGUAAAUAAUAGUAGUUAUUGGUUUCUUCACAAGGAUUGUUCCAUUCUAUUAUAAUUUAUUAUUUUAUUUUUUAAUUACAAGUAAUAAUAAAAGCAUAUAUUAAAUCCAACUUAUAUACGGAACAAAAUUUUUCCAAAUUUGUUAAUUUGUACAACAUAACCACAAAAAAAAACAUCAAAAGGCGGAAUAAAAAAACUAGUUCAAAAUCUUAUCUUCAAAAUCAAGAUGACAACAAAAACAUGUUUUUUUCUAAUCUAAAAUAAAAGAUACCGUAUAAGUCAUAAAAUGAAACAUUAAAGUGAUGGAAAAUUAGACAGCCAAAGAGAGAUAGAGACCACUCAGUUGAUCAAGUUUAAGAAAAAAGGGAAAACCAACAAAAAAUCAUUUAAAAGCAUAGGCAUCAUUCAAACACAAAAUGAAGUAAAAUCACCUAAAUCAGAUCACAAACUGCUUUGAUUUUGAAACUUUGAUAAGAGAAAAUGAGGAGAUGGGGAUGGAAAAUUGAACGAGGGGUUGAGAGAUGCAGAGAAUGUGUGAGAAAGUAGAAUGAGAAUAGGGAGGGGAGGGUAAAAUUUAUUUGUAGGAAACUACGCCAAUAAAAGUGAUAAGGUCAGCAUUGAUUAUAUCGAACCCUAAUAAAUUGCUUCAUAUCCAGUGACGAUGCCAGCUAAUUUUACAUAUUAGCAAUUACACCAAUCGUAGCUAGCAGCAAAAUGACAUUUGGCGAGAUAUGAAAUGUACCAUACAGUCUAUUGUGAACUUCCUUGAGCCAUUAAUUUAGUUUACCUAGGUAUGAAUAAAGCAAAAACUCAAGGACUAAACAACCCAAGACCAUUUUAAAUGAUCUAGCAAGGUUUCAUUUUAUCAAAAUUAUUACUGUGGUAAAAUAGUUAAGUAUAAUAAAAACCAGGACUAGAAAGAUGAUGGUGCACUCCUUAAAUGCAUAAGCAAACUAGUUAUUAUAUUCAAGACUGUACCCCGUGACCAAUAAAUCGUUGCCAUAUUAAUCGGUACCACAUGCACACAGAACUGUGGAAAUCAGUGGAUUUUUUGGCAACCAGAAUUUCAAUUGUUUUAUUACCAUGACACACAAAAGAGUCCUAUUUGAUGACUAUCUUCAUUUCUUAAGUUUGUCAUCUUGUAUUAAGUCAAGGGUUCAAUUCUCUUUGGGAACGGGUUGUAGGCCAUUUAUAAGGCCAAUGUUUUUUUUAAGAAACUACAGCACGGACUUAGUAUACAAGGGCUUCUUGACUGGUCUCGCUUUCUUUCUAAUUUUUUAUUUUCCGAGUUAAUCAUAGUAUAUCCUGGAAACUCAUCUCAUAACUUGAAAUGUGUAUACUAUAUUUGAUCAAUACUUGAAAUAAAGUAAUUUAUGCGAUAUAUGCUCUUUCAUAUAAAGGUUAUCAGAUGAAGCACUUUUCGAUCAUGCCCCAUAUUCCAACAAUAUAAACUCAAUAAGCACGAAAACUAGGCUUCAAUAUCCAGAUUAAAAUAUUACCUGAUACUGAAAAUACAUCUCUCGCCAGGUCUCGAUCAUGCCCCAUAUUCCUUCAAACAAUGAGAAGUAAAAUUCGCAGGAACCAUUUCCUAUAGACAAUAUGAGUUCUAAAUAAGGAGCAGCAAUUGUUCUAUAAACGUAACCAGUAUGACAGAAGCAUGGUAGCCACACAGACAGGAUUGUAAGGCAUACAACCUAACACAUUGUUCUAUAAAGGUAAAAAUUAAUAUAUGGCAAUAGAAAUUGCAACAGUUGAAAAUUUUACGGUAUUAUCAUAUAAUCACUUAUACUUAUACAUUGAUAUAAUAAUUCACAGGGAAACGAAAAAAAAAAAGCCACUGCAAAUAUGAAUCUCCCAAGAGUUCAAUUAGGUAUGAGGUUCCCCAAUUAAUUCGAUCAAAGUACUCGAAAUUUUGCUAUCAAAAAAAGGCAUAGAGAAAUUAAAGGCAAUUGCAUUUUCAUACAAUUCACCAAAACAGUAAAUUUAAUGGCUUACAAUCUGGAAAUAGCCAUCUGAUGAAGAAUUUCCACAUCCAAUUUACUUCAUAUAUCUCCCACCACCAUAACCACGGCGGCGAGCAUAGCCGGAGAACAUUAACCAAUACAGUAGUCAUAUUGUUGGAAUGCCUCUUAUUUUCCCAUCUCUUCUUCACCAGCUCCAUCCUCGAUUUACCGUGCGCCUUCACAAUAUCUUCCGAGAAAGAAUAUGGCGAGGGGUAACGGCCGGUUGCGGCAGCGGCGGCGGCGACGGUGGGCAUGGACAUUGCAACUGCCACCUAUGGGGUUUAAUCUGGGAAGGGGAGAGAUUACAAUUUACAACUGAUUGUCGGAAAAGGCAUUUUUAUUUGAUGAUCAUUUGCUAAAUAAAUUAAAGUUCAAACCCCUUUAAAGUAAGCAUUAUAUAUCACUUCAAUGCUGCAAAUUAAGCAUCAAUAUAAUUUCAACCCUUCUAACUAAGCAUUAAUAUGAAUUUAACCCCUCUAACUAAGAAUUGUUGCAUUUAAACCCUAUUAUUAUUUUUUUCAAGUUGAAAAACCUAAAAAAGAUUCAUCAAAUAAUACCAUGGAAGAGACUUCGAUUGCUAUUUGAAUCACUCUUGAAACCCAAUUUAUUCCAAUAUUUAUCAUUAUUUUGAAUUUUAGCACAACUACUACUAUUGUUCGCUAUAUAAAUUUUAGACUAAUAUUAUAAUGAGAGUUGUUACUAGCUCAUGGUUAAGUUAAAAGUACGUAAUGAAUCAUGUCACUCUCCUACUUUCUAAUUCGUCGCAUGAUUUAAUUUUCUUAAAAAAAAUGCUCCAAACCUAAUAUAAGAAAAUAUCAAAAUAAUGAAAAUAAGUUACAUUAUUUUUUAUUUUAUUGUUACAUAAACUAUGUACUAGAAAAGAUAAAAUAAAAUGGCAUUGCAUAACCAGCUGCAGCUGCGUGAUGGCUUGGAAGUUUAUCAAAUUGUAUUAUACUCAGCGUUUCGAAACUGGACCGAACCGGCCGGUUCAAAAUCGCCAAUCAUUGUCUUGUUCGGUCCAGUUUGACCAGUUGAAAUGUAAUAUCAAAACCUGAGUGAAAAUCGGGUUUUUUUUCCUUCAUAAAAUUGUGUUUUUUUAAUAAAAAUAAACAAAUAAAAUGGCCAAAACGAUGUCUUUUUACUAUGAUUCGGUGUGAUAUGUGUUUGUUGAUAUGUUAUGUGUGUAUAAGAAAAAUAAGUCGGAUCUAAAUUAUAAUUGGAAAUUAGUAAUGAGUUAAUGUGUGAAAAAAAUAUCUUUUAUUUACUUAAAAAUGUCUAAAAAAUGAAAAAACCGAUUAAACUGGUCCAACCAUGAUCCAAUAGCUUGUUCCGGUCAAUGUCCGGUCCGAUUUUUAAAAUAUUGAUACUCAUCCGUUUUAUAUUAUUAAGAAAAUUGAAUUAUGGUACGAAUUACAAUGUAGGAGAAAAUGAAACAGCUACAAGCCUACAACUAACACAACAUUUUGCUACGAAAUUAAAGAUAUAUUUUAUAAUAAAAAACAAACAGUUCACUCAUGUCAAGCUGAUUCGCCAAACUCACAAAAAACUAAACCAAAAAAACAAUAUUGCUCAAAAUUAAAGUAUGAAAAAGGUUAACGCAUCGGUACAUAUGGUGUCACUGAGACGUAGAAGACUCGGCGGCAGUGUUCACUUUGUUAAGGAGGCGCAAAGUCUCUUGUAAAAGAUAGGCUUUGAUAUGAGGGUCAAUAAGGUGGCCUUUUGUUUCGAGAAUCAAUUUCAUCCUCUCCAACUCCCUCUUCACUUCUGCAAGACUAGGUAUACGUAUCUCCCCUGGAAUAAGAAAUGAUCCGUAGCCGAUACAAAGGGUAGAAACGACAUAUAUAUUCAUGAAUUAAAAUUGCAAUAAAACAUUAAUAGUGCACAUAAAGAUCUUCACGUCAAGAAACGAUUACAAGAAAUAAG